UCUCAGCUUGUUUGUGAGGGGGUAUAGGUCCUGUGUAUUUGUGACAGUGUGUGGGGUAAGUUGGCAGUGAGUGGGGAAAGUGUUGUGUGUGUGAUAAAGUUAGGUCUGUGUACAGUGUUGUGUGUGUGAUUAAGUUAGGUCUGUGUACAGUGUUGUGUGUGUGAUUAAGUUAGGUCUGUGUACAGCGUUGUGUGUGAUAAAGUUAGGUCUGUGUACAGCGUUGUGUGUGAUUAAGUUAGGUCUGUGUACAGUGUUGUGUGUGUGAUAAAGUUAGGUCUGUGUACAGCGUUGUGUGUGAUAAAGUUAGGUCUGUGUACAGCGUUGUGUGUGAUUAAGUUAGGUCUGUGUACAGUGUUGUGUGUGUGUGAUAAAGUUAGGUCUGUGUACAGCGUUGUGUGUGAUUAAGUUAGGGCUGUGUACAGUGUUGUGUGUGUGUGAUAAAGUUAGGUCUGUGUACAGUGUUGUGUGUGUGAUUAAGUUAGGUCUGUGUACAGUGUUGUGUGUGUGAUUAAGUUAGGUCUGUGUACAGUGUUGUGUGUGUGUGAUAAAGUUAGGUCUGUGUACAGUGUUGUGUGUGUGAUAAAGUUAGGUCUGUGUACAGUGUUGUGUGUGUGAUUAAGUUAGGGCUGUGAAAAGUGUUGUGUGUGUGAUUAAGUUAGGGCUGUGUACAGUGUUGUUUGUGUGUGAUUAAGUUAGGGCUGUGUACAGUGUUGUGUGUGAUUAAGUUAGGGCUGUGUACAGUGUUGUGUGUGUGAUUAAGUUAGGGCUGUGAAAAGUGUUGUGUGUGUGAUUAAGUUAGGUCUGUGUACAGUGUUGUUUGUGUGUGAUUAAGUUAGGGCUGUGUACAGUGUUGUGUGUGAUUAAGUUAGGGCUGUGUACAGUGUUGUGUGUGUGAUUAAGUUAGGGCUGUGUACAGUGUUGUGUGUGUGAUUGAGGUUUGUUUUCCAGUGGGGUAUACUGUAUUGGUGUGUUCCAGAUCGUGAGUGAGGGUAUGUGUUGUGUGUUUGUGUCAGUGAAUGGGGGGGUAUGUGAUAUAGUGGGGUAUGUCCUGUAUGUAAUAUAUGUAUGUAUACUGCCAGUUAGUGGGAUGCCAGUGCGGGGCAGGGCAGUGGACAGACUCAGAUCAUUCCUGUGAUUUAACAUGACACCACUUGCACUAAGACUGCGACAGCUGCGUAUGCACAUGCCGCCAAUUCUGUUUGUUGUAGGGGCUUACGCUGCGAUAAAAGGCCAAGUGCAGAGUAGUGUGGCUGGGCCCAGAGCAUUACUCUUUCCCCCCAAUUUAGAAGGCU
rnacentral:lncRNA from 1 species